CACUGAUUGCCAGAGCCCAGACAAUGACUACUGCUGUGUUUCCUAGCCUUGCCAGGAGGAUCUCGCUUUGUGGUUCCUACAGGUUACCUGAAGACAUAGUGUCAGGCAAAGGAGUGGAUCAUCUGAAGAUCUUGGUAUUGGAAAUGAGUCCAGGACCAACCCUUAUGGAUGACUCUGUAAGAAUGGGGUGGAUAUGAAGACUAGGGUGAUGGCUCAUGUAGGAAGAAAACUUGCUGUGAAAGUUUGG
rnacentral:lncRNA from 1 species